GGGCGGCGUUGAGAUCAACCUGGCUCUGAUACCAGUGCUUGAAAGCAGAGAAGAGCGAUGGAAUUUUUUAGGGGGCUCCGAUAAUGGGGGUAAGUCUUUUGAUCAUGUUGAAGUCAUACUUGGAUGUCUAUCAUUGCUACUACUUCUAAGGUGGCUGUUAAGAAGAAAUCCAAACAAAGAACUCGGCUACUUUAACCAUUUCUUAUCACUAGAAUAUGUCAAGACCAUUGGAUCCCCUUUUACACUACUGAUAGAUAUGAGAAGGGGAAAGCUUCACUUUCGGCGGAGACGGUCAGGAAGAGCAUUGCUACCAUGGGAAAGGGCACUACUACUACUAAUCAAUCAUCUGAAUUCUAGUCUUUUGCUUCAUAGACCCUAAUGUGCUCUGGACCUGCUCAGUGAACUCUGCAGUCUCUGGGAGAGGUGUGGAGAUGAUGAGGAGAGAUAUGUUGUCGAUGAGGAUAAAUAUGACAUCACAACACACCUACAAUGAUGUAUCUUUGCAGUAUAUCAUAGAAGCUUUUCAUCAAUCGUGUCCAUCUCUUAGCGGACCACCAGUAUAUGGUGACUUCCUCACUAAAGCAGCACAGCCUACAGGAGCUUUUCGUCCAUCUACUUCACACGGUGUUGACGAAAGAGAUGAUCAGGAUGAGGACAUGCAGGGAGAUAAUUGAGAGGAUUGAGUGAGUUGAUACCUUAGUUGCUGGAGGUUGUAUUUCUUUUUUUCUUUCUUUUUUAGACUUUUUUUAAAAAAUUCUGGACAUGUAUAUUCUUUUGAUAGUGCUUGAGAUACUUGGUCUUUACUAA